ensembl:lncRNA
AUGGAAGAGCUGCCACCCAAAGCCCGUGACAGCACUCGGGUCACUGUGACAAAGACAGAGAUGGAUUGAGAUAUUUUACGCCUAUACCUCCUACAUGAUUCUCAGUUUGUAAUCAGCAUAUGUUGUGCACACCUUCAAAGACGUGAUAGUUUGCACAUAAUAACUUCUGAGCAAUAAAAA